rfam:TPA: Bos taurus chromosome 18, whole genome shotgun sequence.
UCCCUGGUGGUCCAGUGGUUAAGACACUGCACUCCCACUGCAAGGGUCAUGGGUUCAAUCCCUGAUCAGGGAA